rnacentral:rRNA from 1 species
GACGAACGCUGGCGGCGUGCUUAACACAUGCAAGUCGAACGGAAAGGCCCCUUUGGGGGUCCUCGAGUGGCGAACGGGUGAGUAACACGUGAGUAACCUGCCCUUGACUUCGGGAUAACUUCAGGAAACUGGGGCUAAUACCGGAUAGGAAUCCUUGCUGCAUGGUGGGGGUUGGAAAGCUUCGGCGGUUUUGGAUGGACUCGCGGCUUAUCAGCUUGUUGGUGGGGUAGUGGCUUACCAAGGCUUUGACGGGUAGCCGGCCUGAGAGGGCGACCGGCCACAGUGGGACUGAGAGACGGCCCAGACUCCUACGGGAGGCAGCAGGGGGGAAUAUUGCACAAUGGGCGGAAGCCGGAUGCAGCAACGCCGCGUGCGGGAUGACGGCCUUCGGGUUGUAAACCGCUUUCAGCAGGGGCGAAGCUUGUGGUGACGGUACCUGCAGAAGAAGCACCGGCUAACUACGUG